UACAGAGGGGGCAAGCGUUGUUCGGAAUUACUGGGCGUAAAGGGCGCGUAGGCGGCCUGACAAGUCGGAUGUGAAAGCCCUGGGCUCAACUCAGGAAUUGCAUUCGAAACUGGCAGGCUUGAGUACGGGAGAGGGGGGUGGAAUUCCUGGUGUAGGGGUGAAAUUCGUUGAUAUCAGGAGGAACACCGGCGGCGAAGGCGGCCCCCUGGCCCGCAACUGACGCUCAUGGUCGAAAGCGUGGGGAGCAAACAGG
rnacentral:rRNA from 1 species